rnacentral:telomerase_RNA from 2 species
UUCACUCUUACUCAACACGCGCGACGCCUCCCCCACAGUUCUCCGACUCACGUUUUCCGCAAGGAAUGUCUAUCGCAGGCCCCCUUCCCAUCUGGUUAGCCGCAAUAUGCCGCUCUCGAACCUGUAUCAGGAUCUCGUUAUGCCGCAGCUGGAUUAUUGUGGAUGCACCGCGACCUGUAGAGGUUGUACCAGGGCAGAAGGGUAACGCGUUUCGGAACUUAACCCUAAGAAGAUAUCUGGUUUAAGCUUUGCGCUCUUGUCGUCCAAGUCGUCUUCUAAGCCGGCUAGGCACCUAUGGCUGUGACGUGCCCGCUGAAAAGUUGGACGAUCGGCUUGUGGUGCCAGGCGGACGGACAGGCGAGGAGGAUAGUCCAGUCACCUUUGUGUGCGCGAGAGGAUCGGUGCCAUGAGUCGUUACGGUAAGAGCCUCUGGUCUGAGGACGCUCGUCAGCCCUUUCCACUGGAACCAGCACAUCGGUCAAGAGUAGACCGUCCUGGAGAUGCAAUCAGCCAUGGGAUCAUGGAGAUGGAACCGGCAAGGCUCUCGUGCCCUCUGUGCCCAAGCAGCCAAGAAUUGGGGUGUUGGUAUGGCUUCAUACAGUCAGUCUCCGUAUUUCAUCAACUCGCCCAAGUCGUCGCCUGUCGGAACCGCCAUCUGGUAAACUCCACCUGGUGCAAUGGGCCACUUGCGGAAACAUACAGAAAUUGGAACGACAACUGACCCUUCUUGCCAGCCAAAUGGCUCCCGGCCCUUCGAAGCUGCAGAUCGAUGGCUUGGCAGAUUGCUGCACUGGUUCACAUCAAAUCCACUCCCUCGACUCGAUUCGCUCCCAGGACCAUGCCAUGGCAAUUCGUCGUGGCGUGUGACGCUCUGCGUCUGGUCUGACCAAGCGCAUUAACCUCUAGCCAUUGGGUCCCCAAUCCCUUGGUCAUGAUGGGCGCCGGCCCACCUGAAGGUGCCUAUAUACUGGACAGGGUCCAGAUGGCCCUAAAGGAUUCCUCGACUCUAACCUGAAAAGGCGAGCCUGAGAUGACAGGGUGGUUUUUAUGGAUGUCUUUUGUCCACCCGUUCACGUCCUCCGCAAUUCUUGCUACAAGAUGGAGAGAUUACAAAAACUGGUCCUUGUUGGCAGUGCGAAUCAAACAGAAGGGGUCAUCUUGUUCGCGUCGAGUGUUUUUCAGACUGCGUUCUGUCAUGACGGCUUUCGGUGGUAUCCUGUCGGCGAAGGCAUCUAACUUUGCUGGGAUUUACAGUUACUCGGGACAGUUCAGCUUUGCAUUCGCCUUGUUCCCAACGACAAGAUCUACAGCAAGGUUCAAAGCAGCGCCGGGACCCAUCUCGAGUUGGAGUCAAAGUUUCGUGCUUGUCUGGUGUUGUGGCGGUCCUAGCCGUGGGUUGAGUCUGAGGUUGCAGGGUCGCACAGUUGCACUGAGUUGUAUCGUUGGAUCUUGGACAGGCCUGGUUGGAUAGGCAGUCCUGGUUGCCCUCUCACCAGAAAUAGUGCGGAGGGCAACCCCCCGCAGAGG